rnacentral:tRNA from 1 species
GGCUCGAUAGCUCAAUUGGUAGAGCGUCCGCCCGUUAAGUGGAUGGUUGAAAGUUCAAGUCUUUCUCGAGCCG